GUUGAAAUUCAAACUAAUCCCUAUCAGGGAUUGAAAC
rfam:Phormidium ambiguum IAM M-71 NIES-2119_Scaffold_7, whole genome shotgun sequence.